ensembl:lncRNA
AUGGGGACCGGGACGUGUGCACACGCUGACCCGCGUCUGAGAGCAUUGCGGGCGUACGGGCCCUGCGGAGUUCUGGUGAAACAUCAGCUUAUUUGUUGCAAAAAAAAAAAAAAGUUUAAAUCCAUGCAGCUUUUGCAAAAUAUGCUUUUCCUACUUUUUGAAGGCCCCUCACCCAGGACACAAACCUCAGAAGAACCUGGAGCAGGGGUACGUAGACUUCUACACUAUUUCUGCAACUUUUCUCUAAGUGUAAAAAUCAGUUCAAAGCAUUUUGUACAAAAAGAAAAUGCUCCUAACAGCUUAACAGCUUCACUUACGCGGCCUGGAACUAAGAACAGGGCGGGGCCUGGCCCGGCAGCCAGGGUGCCCACGGCCCUGCCGCAGAUCCGGCUCCGUUCCCAGCCCUGGCUCCUGGCUCGUUUCCUGCCACAGCAGACCCUGGGGGCAGCUGUGACGGCUGAAGUCGCUGAGCCCUGCCACCACGUGGGGGACCUGCCUGGCUUCUGUCGCAGUAGGGGGUCAGGGCAGCAGCUGCUGCAAGCAACUGAGCAGAGAGCCAGCAGGUGGGGGCCCUCUCAGAAGCAGCCCCGAUGUCCUCACAGGAGGCCCUGUGCUGGGUGGUGCUGCGUGGUGCUGCGUGGUGCUGCGUGGGUGUAGCACAGGCACAGCUGGGUGAUGGUUGCUGUACUUAAUGGUAGUGCCUGCAGAAUUAACUUACUCCUUUCUAGUAUGACUUUUCUCCCGAUCUUCUGUAGUCUGCCUCCGUCUUCUCCCUACUGCAGCCCGUACCUCUGUGUGCCGCCUGCAUUACCUGUGAGCAGAUCUUUGCUAUACAGUCAAGCAGACGUGUGACACGGCCGCCGUCUGUCUGUGUGCUGGAUUGACGAGGGGGCACCGCAGUGCAGGGGAGCGAGGCUGUCCCGUCUCAGGUCGGGUGGGGGUGGCACGCAGCUUCCCGUCUCAGGUCGCGUGGGGGUGGCACGCAGCUGUCCCGUCUCAGGUCGGGUGGGGGUGGCACGCAGCUGUCCCGUCUCAGGUCGGGUGGGGGUGGCACGCAGCUGUCCCGUCUCAGGUCGGGUGGGGGCGGCACGCAGCUGUCCCGUCUCAGGUCGGGUGGGGGCGGCACGCAGCUGUCCCGUCUCAGGUCGGGUGGGGGCGGCACGCAGCUGUCCCGUCUCAGGUCGGGUGGGGGCGGCACGCAGCUGUCCCGUCUCAGGUCGGGUGGGGGCGGCACGCAGCUGUCCCGUCUCAGGUCGGGUGGGGGUGGCACGCAGCUGUCCCGUCUCAGGUCGGGUGGGGGUGGCACGCAGGUGGGUGCGUGGGGGAAGCAGCCACAGGGGAGCAUCACCUGUGAAAGGCUCUGGUGCAGGGGAGCACACAGCCGUGGUGCAGGCCGAGGUCCAGGUGACCCACAGUCAUGAGAAGCGAAACCCUCAUUAGGAGUGAGACGCCAGUGGGCACGGCGUGUGGCGCAGAGGGCAAAGCCGCCGCUGCAGUGCUGGCCUCCCAUAGGGCGCCAGUUUGUGCCCUGGCUGCUGCACGUCCAGUCCAGCUCUCUGCUGUGGCCUGGGAAAGCAGCAGAAGAUGGUCCAAGUGCUUGGGCCCUGCACCCACGUGGGAGACCUGGAAGAAGCUCCUGGCUUCAGAUUGCUGAAGCUCUGGCCGCUGAGGCCAGUUGGGAGCUCUCUGUUUCUCUCUCUCUCUGCCUCUCUUCUCUCUCUGUGUAACUCUUUCAAAUAAAUCAAUAAAUCUUUAAAAAAAAAAAAAAAGU